rnacentral:rRNA from 1 species
GUCCACGCCCUAAACGAUGCUAACUGGACAUUUGGACGAAUGAGUUUGGGUGUCUGAGGGAAACCAUUAAGUUAGCCACCUGGGGAGUACGUUCGCAAGAAUGAAACUCAAAGGAAUUGACGGGGGUCCGGCACAAGCGGUGGAGUAUGUGGUUUAAUUCGAUGAUACGCGAGAAACCUUACCUGGGCUCGAACGCUAGAUGAAUAUUGAGGAAACUUGAUAGGCCCGCAAGGGACAUUUAGUGAGGUGCUGCAUGGCUGUCGU